GUUUGAAGAAGAACUAAUCAGAGUUGGUUUAGGAAAACUAAGAAGGUGUCGGUGGGGUAGUGACUUAUGUAACAAAUUCAACUAAUCAGAGUUGGUUUAGGAAAACUAAGAAGGUUACCAUGGUUGAAAUCUCAGAAGAUGAUUCUGCUUCUAAUCUUCCAAUUAUACAUGGAGUGGCAUCACAAAUGGGACCUCCCCCUCCACGUCCACCGCGUUCUGGACAAGUGCAUGGACCAUCAGCAGGGACAGGGAGUACCGCUGGCUCAUCUACACCAGCU